rnacentral:rRNA from 1 species
UACGUAAUCCCCAAGUGGUAUCCAGCAUUAUUUGGCUUAAAGCGUGUGUAGCUGGUUUGUUAAGUCUUUUGUGAAAGCAGCUAGCCUAACUAGUUGAAUUGCAAAAGAUACUGGCAUGACUAGGAACCGGAAGACGUUAAGGGUAUUUUUAGAGUAGGAGUAGAAUCUUAAGAUACUAAAAAGACCACCUGUGGCGAAGGCGCUUAACGAGUACGGAUUCGACAGUGAGAUACGAAAGCUGGGGGCGCAACCCGG